rnacentral:rRNA from 1 species
GACGAACGCUGGCGGCGUGCCUAAUACAUGCAAGUAGAACGCUGAAGGAGGAGCUUGCUUCUCUGGAUGAGUUGCGAACGGGUGAGUAACGCGUAGGUAACCUGCCUGGUAGCGGGGGAUAACUAUUGGAAACGAUAGCUAAUACCGCAUAAUAGUAGAUGUUGCAUGACAUUUGCUUAAAAGGUGCAAUUGCAUCACUACCAGAUGGACCUGCGUUGUAUUAGCUAGUUGGUGAGGUAACGGCUCACCAAGGCAACGAUACAUAGCCGACCUGAGAGGGUGAUCGGCCACACUGGGACUGAGACACGGCCCAGACUCCUACGGGAGGCAGCAGUAGGGAAUCUUCGGCAAUGGACGGAAGUCUGACCGAGCAACGCCGCGUAAGUGAAGAAGGGUUUCGGAUCGUAAAGCUCUGUUGUAAGAGAAGAACGAGUGUGAGAGUGGAAAGUUCACACUGUGACGGUAUCUUACCAGAAAGGGACGGCUAACUACGUG